GCCCCGUUAGCUCAGUCGGAUAGAGCGCCGGAUUCCUAAUCCGGAGGCCAUAGGUUCAAAUCCUGUACGGGGCACCA
rnacentral:tRNA from 1 species